UGUGAUGAAAAGUGGGUAUAAACAUGACUGU
rnacentral:piRNA from 1 species